rnacentral:rRNA from 1 species
CUACGGGAGGCUGCCGUGAGGAAUAUUGCACAAUGGGGGGAACCCUGAUGCAGCAACGCCGCGUGGAGGAUGACGCAUUUCGGUGUGUAAACUCCUUUUAUAUGUCAAGAAAAUGACGGUAGCAUAUGAAUAAGCACCGGCUAACUCCGUGCCAGCAGCCGCGGUAAUACGGAGGGUGCAAGCGUUACUCGGAAUCACUGGGCGUAAAGGACGCGUAGGCGGGUUGGAAAGUCAGGUGUGAAAUCCUACAGCUUAACUGUAGAACUGCACUUGAAACUUCUAAUCUAGAGUAUGGGAGGGGGAGAUGGAAUUAGUGGUGUAGGGGUAAAAUCCGUAGAUAUCACUAGGAAUACCUAAAGCGAAGGCGAUCUCCUGGAACAUUACUGACGCUAAGGCGUGAAAGCGUGGGGAGCAAAUAGGAUUAGAUACCCGAGUAGUC